rnacentral:rRNA from 1 species
UUCCAGCAAUGGACCUGCACACAGGUGCUGCAUGGCUGUCGUCAGCUCGUGUCGUGAGAUGUUGGGUUAAGUCCCGCAACGAGCGCAACCCUCGCCUCUAGUUGCCAUCAUUCAGUUGGGCACUCUAGAGGGACUGCCGGUGAUAAGCCGAGAGGAAGGUGGGGAUGACGUCAAGUCCUCAUGGCCCUUACGGGCUGGGCUACACACGUGCUACAAUGGCGGUGACAGUGGGAUGCGAACCCGCGAGGGUAAGCAAAUCUCCAAAAGCCGUCUCAGUUCGGAUUGCACUCUGCAACUCGAGUGCAUGAAGUUGGAAUCGCUAGUAAUCGUGGAUCAGCAUGCCACGGUGAAUACGUUCCCGGGCCUUGUACACACCGCCCGUCACACCAUGGGAGUUGGCUUUACCCGAAGGCGCUGCGCUAACCCGCAAGGGAGGCAGGCGACCACGGUAGGGUCAGCGACUGGGGUGAAGUCGUAACAAGGUAAGCGUAGAUGA